AUUGAACGCUGGCGGCAGGCCUAACACAUGCAAGUCGAGCGGAUGAAGGGAGCUUGCUCCUGAAUUCAGCGGCGGACGGGUGAGUAAUGCCUAGGAAUCUGCCUGGUAGUGGGGGAUAACGUCCGGAAACGGGCGCUAAUACCGCAUACGUCCUGAGGGAGAAAGUGGGGGAUCUUCGGACCUCACGCUAUCAGAUGAGCCUAGGUCGGAUUAGCUAGUUGGUGGGGUAAAGGCCUACCAAGGCGACGAUCCGUAACUGGCCUGAGAGGAUGACCAGUCACACUGGAACUGAGACACGGUCCAGACUCCUACGGGAGGCAGCAGUGGGGAAUAUUGGACAAUGGGCGAAAGCCUGAUCCAGCCAUGCCGCGUGUGUGAAGAGGGUCUUCGGAUUGUAAAGCACUUUAAGUUGGGAGGAAGGGCAGUAAGUUAAUACCUUGCUGUUUUGACGUUACCAACAGAAUAAGCACCGGCUAACUUCGUG
rnacentral:rRNA from 1 species